AGAAAUAUAUUCAGUAAAAACUAAAAUGACUUUUCAAUUUAUAAUAUUCCUUGCAAUUAAAACUUUUCUU
rnacentral:tRNA from 1 species